UCCACAGAUAUUCCAAUUUGAUUUUGAACUUAUUCUCUCUUAUGGUUGAUGCCAACAUUCCAGACAUCGCUCUUGAACCUGACAAGACAGUCAAAAAAGUUCAAGACAAGUUCCGUCUGGAUCUCUCUGACGAGGAGGCAGUACACUACAUGCAGAGCUUGAUUGAUGAAAGUGUCCAUGCUCUCUUUGCAGCAAUGGUGGAACAGAUCCAUAAGUUUGCUCAGUACUGGAGAAAAUGAGUCCCCACCACAUCUGAAGGCAAGAAUUCAUGCUGCUCUGUCACGCUGCUGAAGAUAACAUCAAAUAAGGAUGUAACUUUGCUAGCUUGGAUAAUCAAUUUAUCAAGAAUUGCCAUUCAAACUAGGUCAAGGGUAUAUGUCCCUCACUCUAGGUAUAUCAGCAACGGUUUGGAAAACAGAGCAAUGCCCUCCAGAGCCAAAAUGAUAAGAAGAAAAUAAAUGUCUUAUGGCUGUUAAAGGACAUCUGUGCACCUAUUAUUGUGGUUUGUUUGGACAAAAAACAUGAAAUGUAGCCUUGCACUUAACUGGUCCCUCUAGAAGAACACACCUAUAGCAAGACAAGUAUUGUCAAAGCUUAUGAACUUGGAACUGAGGUUUGGGGUUAUUUCUAGAACUUGUGCAAAUUGAGUCGGCCCAUACUUUUAGAGUAGGUUACAUCCUACAGACUCCUUUUAGAGAAAGGGAUCCUAUGAACUAUCAGCAGAUCUGGCCUUUAGAGCAAAGCAAAGUGCUGAAAGAUAUCAACCAUGGACGUGAAAGGCCUGACAGGAAAAUGAAUGUUUUCACUUUCUUUAUAAAUAAUAACGUAUGUUGACUGUAUAUGCCAAGUCUAAUAAAAUGCCUUUGAUG